AUUGGAAGGACUGAUGUUGAAGCUGAAGCUCCAAUACUUUGGUCACCUAAUGUGAAGAACUGACUCCUUGGAAAAGACCCUGAUGCUGGAAAAGAUUGAAGGCAGGAGGAGAAGUGGCUGACAGAGGAUGAGAUGGUUGGAUGGCCUCACCAACCCGAUGGACAUGAGUUGGACCAAGUGCGUUGGAACCAAACGCAUCCUAUCUCUGAAGUGCGCCUGCAUAGAGAUUUGCAGUGAAUACCGUGAAUCUACACACAAGUACGAAUUCAACUGCGGAUGUGAUCGAUAAAACAUCAUCUGCCGUGUCGUUCAAGGGUGUGAGAAGACAGUAAAGAGUGUAGCCCCGAGGUCCUUCACACGUGGUGUCUGUCGUGUUACCUAGAAACAACGCUUCUGGAGCUCAGAGCAUCACUGCGUCCAGCCUGGGUUUCUCGGUCCUAAUCGGGAUGGUGGCGUGUCCACAGAAAGUGGCUGCUGCCUGGCCCGCGCAUGCGCAUGGGUCCCCAGAGGCAGAACCGAGAACGCAGCUGUAGGACUCGAUGCCAUUUCUGAGUCCUGACCUCGUGCCACGAGCUUUGUGCCAGGGACCUGACAAUUGCAGCCCCAUCGCCAGCCCAGGAGGCUGGGUCGAAGCAGUUUCCACUUUACCCUGAGGUACUGAGUCUCCAAGACGGCACACCACCUCCCUGCGGUCCUCCGACUGUGACCGGGAAGGCGGAAACACAAGCAACACAAAUCAGGAAGCUCAGGAGCAGCCGGCCUGGCCCCUUCGAUGAUCCUUAGGACGGAGUCACGUGGAGCAGCGCCUCCAGGCCCGGUGCAGCCCGCUCUGCACUGGCUUCUGCAGCAACGGUGAGUCGUUUGGGAGCCAGUGCACACGCGCUCCCUCCCGGAGAUGCACGGUGCACACCGGCAUUUCAGGGCCCAACAGGUCCCGAGGAAAAGGAUCCCCUGACCCAGGGCCGCUUCCCAAACCCAUCAAAUACCCUCUGGGACACAGCGCUCUGGGUCUCUCGAUUCUCCCCGGGGUCAAGCUGAACUACACCGUGCAGGUUCCUGAUUGAAAUACUUUGACGGAAUAAUCCUUUGCUGUUAUGCCUGGGACCCCAUCAUGACAGUGAGCGUACGAAGGUCUCCACCCACUGUCUGCUGACAGCUCUGCCCCUCCAG
ensembl:lncRNA